rnacentral:sRNA from 1 species
AAAAAUAUAACAAAAACAGAAAAAAAA